CCUGCUCUCAGUGGCAUCACAGGGAUGGGUACUAAGUCAUUUGUGAGUCAACAGGUGGAAGAGCAGGGAGGCAAUAGCUAAGCUCAAAAUUCUGACUGUGAAUAACUGAAUGAUUAGUAGCCUAGCAUU
rnacentral:snoRNA from 14 species